rnacentral:rRNA from 1 species
UACAGGGGGUGCAAACGUUGCUCGGAAUUAUUGGGCGUAAAGCGCACGUAGGCGGCUACUUAAGUCGGAUGUGAAAGCCCCUGGCUCAACUGGGGAAGUGCACCCGAAACUGAGUGGCUUGAGUGCGAAAGAGGGUCGCGGAAUUCCCGGUGUAGAGGUGAAAUUCGUAGAUAUCGGGAGGAACACCGGUGGCGAAGGCGGCGACCUGGGUCGACACUGACGCUGAGGCGCGAAAGCGUGGGGAGCAAACAGG